UGGGGAAUUUUGGACAAUGGACGCAAGUCUGAUCCAGCCAUGCCGCGUGCGGGAAGAAGGCCUUCGGGUUGUAAACCGCUUUUGUCAGGGAAGAAACGAGUUUCUCUAAUACAGAGACUUAAUGACGGUACCUGAAGAAUAAGCACCGGCUAACUACGUGCCAGCAGCCGCGGUAAUACGUAGGGUGCGAGCGUUAAUCGGAAUUACUGGGCGUAAAGCGUGCGCAGGCGGUCUUGUAAGACAGUUGUGAAAGCCCCGGGCUUAACCUGGGAACUGCAUUUGUGACUGUAUAGCUAGAGUACGGCAGAGGGGGAUGGAAUUCCGCGUGUAGCAGUGAAAUGCGUAGAUAUGCGGAGGAACACCGAUGGCGAAGGCAAUCCCCUGGGCCUGUACUGACGCUCAUGCACGAAAGCGUGGGGAGCGAACA
rnacentral:rRNA from 1 species